rnacentral:ncRNA from 2 species
AUACUCCCCCGCGCUUUGGGUGCCCAGUAGUGCAAUUGCACUUGGCUGGGUUAAACGGGAAGUCCGGUGACGUCUAUCGACCAGUCCGGCGCUGCCCCCGCAACGGUGAGCCAAUUCAUUGAAUUGAAGGCAAGCCCGAUACCGGCCCUCAGCAAGUUCGAGGA